GAGAGAGAGAAAGAUGCACAACUCGACCACAACAUCGCAUCAGAUCACAUCAGACUCCUGUGCGUCUGACUUUCUGCUCUCUCUCUUCUCAGUUUCCUAAAGCAGCGGGCGUUUCUUUCAUUUCCCGGACCACAGCGCUGGUUGAACGUGCCUCAUGCGCCACCUUUUGGACUCGGAGAGAAAAAACACCUGCAGGUGCGAUUCAUCCUUCAAAAUCAGAUGUUUGGAAACGAGAAUCAGUCAGCGCACUUUGGGCCUUGUGAUUUUUGAAGUGCAAAGAUUUACGACCGACACCUACUCACAGGUUCCAGGGGCCAGAUAACAAUCCAGAUUCAUACAAGUGACCAACCUGCCACAAGUUUGCUCUUCAGCGAAGCCUCUGAGGCCAG